AACGAACGCUGGCGGCGUGCCUAACACAUGCAAGUCGAGGGAGAAAAGGGGCUUCGGCUCCUGAGUAAACCGGCGCACGGGUGAGUAACACGUAGGUAACGUACCCUUGAGUCUGGGAUAACCAGUCGAAAGACUGGCUAAUACCAGAUACGACUGCGGGAGCUCAGGCUUCUGCAGUGAAAGAUGGCCUCUACUUGUAAGCUAUCACUCAUGGAUCGGCCUGCGCACCAUUAGCUAGUUGGUGAGGUAAAGGCUCACCAAGGCUGAGAUGGUUAGCUGGUCUGAGAGGAUGGCCAGCCACACUGGGACUGAGACACGGCCCAGACUCCUACGGGAGGCAGCAGUGGGGAAUAUUGCGCAAUGGGC
rnacentral:rRNA from 1 species